GACGAACGCUGGCGGCGUGCUUAACACAUGCCAGUCGAACGGAAAGACCCUGCUUUUGUGGGGUGCUCGAGUGGCGAACGGGUGAGUAACACGUGAGUAACCUGCCCUUGACUUUGGGAUAACUUCAGGAAACUGGGGCUAAUACCGGAUAGGAGCUCCUGCUGCAUGGUGGGGGUUGGAAAGUUUCGGCGGUUGGGGAUGGACUCGCGGCUUAUCAGCUUGUUGGUGGGGUAGUGGCUUACCAAGGCUUUGACGGGUAGCCGGCCUGAGAGGGUGACCGGCCACAUUGGGACUGAGAUACGACCCAGACUCCUACGGGAGGCAGCAGUGGGGAAUAUUGCACAAUGGGCGGAAGCCUGAUGCAGCAACGCCGCGUGCGGGAUGACGGCCUUCGGGUUGUAAACCGCUUUCGCCUGUGACGAAGCGUGAGUGACGGUAAUGGGUAAAGAAGCACCGGCUAACUACGUG
rnacentral:rRNA from 1 species